AGAAAAGGGAACCCUCUUGCACUGUUGGUGGGAAUGUAAAUUGAUACAGCCACUAUGGAGAACAGUAUGGAGGUUCCUUAAAAAACUAAAAAUAGAACUACCAUAUGACCCAGCAAUCCCACUACUGGGCAUA